rnacentral:rRNA from 1 species
AUUGAACGCUGGCGGCAUGCCUUACACAUGCAAGUCGAACGGUAACGGGCCUUCGGGUGCCGACGAGUGGCGAACGGGUGAGUAAUGUAUCGGAACGUACCUUUCAGUGGGGGAUAACGUAGCGAAAGUUACGCUAAUACCGCAUAUUCUGUGAGCAGGAAAGCAGGGGAUCGCAAGACCUUGCGCUGAUUGAGCGGCCGAUAUCAGAUUAGCUAGUGGUGAGGUAAAGGCUCACCAAGGCGACGAUCUGUAGCGGGUCUGAGAGGAUGAUCCGCCACACUGGAACUGAGACACGGUCCAGACUCCUACGGAGGCAGCAGUGGGAAUUUUGGGACAAUGGGGCAACCUGAUCCAGCCAUGCCGCGUGAGUGAAGAAGGCCUU